GCUCCCUGGUAGGACACUAAAGAUUCAGUGGCACAAAAAGCUUACAGAUAAUUAAAUAUUGAUUUUUGUUUUCUAAUCCCAUAUAAAAAUUGUCCUGGGUCUCCCAGUGGUGGUGUUAUCUCGCCAGGACACGGGAGGGGAAGAGACGAGGGUGUCUUUUAAGCCUCGUGGAGCGCCCCCCAAGGAGCAAGAAAACAAAGGAGGGGAAAUAAAUGAAGUUGUUAAUUAAAAAGGAAGCAGGACUUGGUGGAAACACAGCGGAAUGUCCCGGAAUAGAAGCUGUGACUGAGAGCCGCAUGCGGCUGUGUGGCAGAGCACAAGUGGGACCGGGACUCAGACCUGCGCCCUUGGUGGAUUCCAUUUCCCGGUCUCCGUGAUGGAUGGAGACAGGCAGGUGACGGAUGUCAGGGAUGAGGCUCAGCUGCAGUGUGUUAGCUGUGACUGCUUAGGAAAAGAUGUCCUUCCAGUGACAACGGAUAAAUGAAAACGGCAGGAAGACUCGGAGCACCUGGCAGCCCUUUUGUUAUCGUGAGGAAGCUCCUGCCUAAGAAUGAGACCAGCACAAAAUGGGAAUGAGACGGACGCCCAAGAACAUCCAUUGAAUGCCUAGCCCCGGCCAUGCCUGGAGCUGGAAUCUUUUCACUGUUCUGCGAGCUAAUACUCGUAUAUCCUGUGUCUCUCAAGCUGGCUGAAUUAGGUCCAGAUGUGUCCCAUUUUUAUAUUAACAAUCCGUCACUCAGGAAAGCCGAGUAAGUUUCCUACGCUGAGGACGUGGCCAUGUAGGUAGGGGAGCCAGCGCCAACCCGGAUUUUCCUGGAUCUUAACUCCGUAAUCUCAACUCCUGGGCAAUUGCUUCUGAAAUUGACUUAAAAGAGAUACUGAAGGCCAGGGGAAGGGUGGGGGAUGGUGCCUGCAUUGUGACUCAGUAGGUUUAGUGGCACCCCAGCUUAUAUGGGUGCUGGUUGGAGUCACGGCUGCUCCACUUCCCAUCCAGCUCCCUGCUCAUGCGCCUGGGAAAGCAGCGGAAGAUCGCCCAUGUAGGAGAUCUAGAAAAAGCCCUUGGCUCUUGGCUUCAGUCUGGGCCAGCCCUGGCCAUUGUGGCCAUCUAGGGAGUGAACCAGCAGAUGGAUGGUGUCUCUCUGUCUCUCCCUCUCUCUCUAUAACUCUGCCUUUCCAAAAAAAGUAAAUGAAUCUUUAAAAAGGAGAGAGAGAGAGAGAGAGAUAUUCCGGGAUUGUUUUCUCUUAGAGGUUUAAGGUGAUACCAGCAGUCAAUCAGGAGGAGAAAGCCUGGUGACUCUGCUGCCAAGAUUCUGGGAUCUGUGACUCCUUCGGACCUCUCUGAACGAGGAAGUGACAGCUGUUAACUGUGGCCAGACUGAGAUGUCAGAGGCACCCGCGUUUGACUUUCUGUUCUGACUGCCAACUGUAGGGGCCCUCUGGAUGCAGAAUGUUUUAAAUAGUCUUUUCUAGUAAUGGUUGAAAUGCUGUGUGCUAGUUCAAUUUUCAUGACUUCAAUUAAAAUACCAAGAGGAACAUCUUGGGAACGAAAAGGCUUGAUUUCGGCUGAGAGUUUGGAGUUUGAGCUGAGGAUCGGGUGAGCCCAUGGGGUGGGGUCUGGUGGGUGCUCACUGUGGCAGGUGUGGAGGCAUGGUCAUGCGGUAACCCAGGAAGCAGAGUGGGAGAGCAAGCUGGCCUGAACUUGCACCCAGGACAACCAACAUGUGCACAAGAGCCUCUCUCUGCAGGCACACCCCCAGCGACAUCGCCCAUCAGGCACCAAAGCUGUAUCAAAGCUCCACCCACAAUCCAUCUAUCAUUAGCACGAAGACAUUGAAGACAUCGAGUUUAAAUAUCUGAGUGCACUGGGGGGAGGCGAGUCCCACUUAACCCGUAAAGCUCUGCUUUGUUCUUAAAUAGUUUGUAAUUCACAAGGAGUUACAGAAGUAGCCAUCACCCAGUGUCCCCUGGUGCAUGGAUCUCACGUAAUGGUAGACAUGGGUGCAGCGCUAA